GAAAAUGAUGAUCAUUUUUUGUCGCCCCAGUCUUAAUCUACAUCUACACCGUAGAUGUAAUGUGGUGAUUGACAUUUAGUUUGAUUC
rnacentral:snoRNA from 1 species